rnacentral:rRNA from 1 species
UGGGGAAUAUUGCACAAUGGGCGAAAGCCUGAUGCAGCAACGCCGCGUGAGUGAUGAAGGUCUUCGGAUUGUAAAGCUCUGUCUUUUGGGACGAUAAUGACGGUACCAAAGGAGGAAGCCACGGCUAACUACGUGCCAGCAGCCGCGGUAAUACGUAGGUGGCGAGCGUUGUCCGGAUUUACUGGGCGUAAAGGGUGCGUAGGCGGAUGUUUAAGUGAGAUGUGAAAUACCCGGGCUUAACUUGGGUGCUGCAUUUCAAACUGGAUAUCUAGAGUGCAGGAGAGGAGAGUGGAAUUCCUAGUGUAGCGGUGAAAUGCGUAGAGAUUAGGAAGAACACCAGUGGCGAAGGCGAUUCUCUGGACUGUAACUGACGCUGAGGCACGAAAGCGUGGGUAGCAAACAGGAUUAGAUACCCUGGUAGUCCACGCCGUAAACGAUGAGUACUAGGUGUAGGAGGUAUCGACCCCUUCUGUGCCGCAGUAAACACAUUAAGUACUCCGCCUGGGAAGUACGAUCGCAAGAUUAAAACUCUAAAGUGAAUUGACGGGGUC